rnacentral:rRNA from 1 species
GACGAACGCUGGCGGCGUGCCUAAUACAUGCAAGUCGAACGCAGUGGGGACGGGUUAGUAACACCUGGGUAACCUCCCAUCAGAGGUGAUAACACUUGGCAACAUCUGCUAAACCGAUAUUGAUUGAUCGAACAGCGGUGCAUUAGCCAGUUGGUGGGGUAACGGCUCACCAAGGCAUCGAUCCAUAGCUGGCCUGAGAGGAUGAUCGGCCACACUGGGACUGAGACACGGCCCAGACUCCUACGGGAGGCAGCAGUGGGGAAUAUUGGACAAUGGACGAAAGUCUGACCGAGCAACGCCGCGUGAGUGAAGAAGGUUUUCGGUUUGUAAAACACUGUUGUUAGGGAAGCGGUAUCUAAAGAAGAAGCAACGGCUAACUACGUGCCAGCAGCCGCGGUAAUUC